AGCGGGGUAGGGCAGCCUGGAGAUUAUCUUUCAUUUUUUGGAAGGUAACUAGUUUGCCCGUCGGGCUCAUAACCCGAAGGCCGUUGGUUCAAAUCCAGCCCACGCUA
rnacentral:tRNA from 1 species